GAUGUCUGGUUAUGAGAAUGUCUCCCACUCAUGUUCAAGUUUCCUGAUCAUGAGACGAUUCCACUGAUACUAUCAUGAGUCCUACUGAUCAGGCCCGACAUC
ensembl:snoRNA SNORD33 Small nucleolar RNA Z195/SNORD33/SNORD32 family